GAUGAAGAACGUAGCGAAAUGCGAUAAGUAAUGUGAAUUGCAGAAUUCAGUGAAUCAUCGAAUCUUUGAACGCACAUUGCGCCCUUUGGUAUUCCGAAGGGCAUGCCUGUUCGAGCGUCAUUUCACCACUCAAGCCUGGCUUGGUAUUGGGCGCCGCGGUCGAUCCGCGCGCCUCAAAGUCUCCGGCUGAGCUGUCCGUCUCUAAGCGUUGUGAUUUCAUUAAUCGCUUCGGAGUGCGGGCGGCCGCGGCCGUUAAAUCUUUCACAAGGUUGACCUCGGAUCAGGUAGGGAUACCCGCUGAACUUAUGCAUAUCAAUAACGGAGGA
rnacentral:misc_RNA from 1 species